rnacentral:rRNA from 1 species
UGGGGAAUAUUGCACAAUGGGCGCAAGCCUGAUGCAGCCAUGCCGCGUGUAUGAAGAAGGCCUUCGGGUUGUAAAGUACUUUCAGCGGGGAGGAAGGGAGUAAAGUUAAUACCUUUGCUCAUUGACGUUACCCGCAGAAGAAGCACCGGCUAACUCCGUGCCAGCAGCCGCGGUAAUACGGAGGGUGCAAGCGUUAAUCGGAAUUACUGGGCGUAAAGCGCACGCAGGCGGUUUGUUAAGUCAGAUGUGAAAUCCCCGGGCUCAACCUGGGAACUGCAUCUGAUACAGGCAAGCUUGAGUCUCGUAGAGGGGGGUAGAAUUCCAGGUGUAGCGGUGAAAGGCGUAGAGAUCUGGAGGAAUGCCGGUGGCGAAGGCGGCCCCCUGGACGAAGACUGACGCUCAGGUGCGAAAGCGUGGGGAGCAAACAGG